rnacentral:rRNA from 1 species
ACUAAGCGUACACGGUGGAUGCCCUGGCAGUCAGAGGCGAUGAAGGACGUGCUAAUCUGCGAUAAGCGUCGGUAAGGUGAUAUGAACCGUUAUAACCGGCGAUUUCCGAAUGGGGAAACCCAGUGUGAUUCGUCACACUAUCAUUAACUGAAUCCAUAGGUUAAUGAGGCGAACCGGGGGAACUGAAACAUCUAAGUACCCCGAGGAAAAGAAAUCAACCGAGAUUCCCCAGUAGCGGCGAGCGAACGGGGAGCAGCCCAGAGCCUGAAUCAGUGUGUGUGUUAGUGGAAGCGUCUGGAAAGGCGCGCGAUACAGGGUGACAGCCCCGUACACAAAAAUGCACAUACUGUGAGCUCGAUGAGUAGGGCGGGACACGUGGUAUCCUGUCUGAAUAUGGGGGGACCAUCCUCCAAGGCUAAAUACUCCUGACUGACCGAUAGUGAACCAGUACCGUGAGGGAAAGGCGAAAAGAACCCCGGCGAGGGGAGUGAAAAAGAACCUGAAACCGUGUACGUACAAGCAGUGGGAGCACGCUUAGGCGUGUGACUGCGUACCUUUUGUAUAAUGGGUCAGCGACUUAUAUUCUGUAGCAAGGUUAACCGAAUAGGGGAGCCGAAGGGAAACCGAGUCUUAACUGGGCGUUAAGUUGCAGGGUAUAGACCCGAAACCCGGUGAUCUAGCCAUGGGCAGGUUGAAGGUUGGGUAACACUAACUGGAGGACCGAACCGACUAAUGUUGAAAAAUUAGCGGAUGACUUGUGGCUGGGGGUGAAAGGCCAAUCAAACCGGGAGAUAGCUGGUUCUCCCCGAAAGCUAUUUAGGUAGCGCCUCGUGAAUUCAUCUCCGGGGGUAGAGCACUGUUUCGGCAAGGGGGUCAUCCCGACUUACCAACCCGAUGCAAACUGCGAAUACCGGAGAAUGUUAUCACGGGAGACACACGGCGGGUGCUAACGUCCGUCGUGAAGAGGGAAACAACCCAGACCGCCAGCUAAGGUCCCAAAGUCAUGGUUAAGUGGGAAACGAUGUGGGAAGGCCCAGACAGCCAGGAUGUUGGCUUAGAAGCAGCCAUCAUUUAAAGAAAGCGUAAUAGCUCACUGGUCGAGUCGGCCUGCGCGGAAGAUGUAACGGGGCUAAACCAUGCACCGAAGCUGCGGCAGCGACGCUUAUGCGUUGUUGGGUAGGGGAGCGUUCUGUAAGCCUGCGAAGGUGUGCUGUGAGGCAUGCUGGAGGUAUCAGAAGUGCGAAUGCUGACAUAAGUAACGAUAAAGCGGGUGAAAAGCCCGCUCGCCGGAAGACCAAGGGUUCCUGUCCAACGUUAAUCGGGGCAGGGUGAGUCGACCCCUAAGGCGAGGCCGAAAGGCGUAGUCGAUGGGAAACAGGUUAAUAUUCCUGUACUUGGUGUUACUGCGAAGGGGGGACGGAGAAGGCUAUGUUGGCCGGGCGACGGUUGUCCCGGUUUAAGCGUGUAGGCUGGUUUUCCAGGCAAAUCCGGAAAAUCAAGGCUGAGGCGUGAUGACGAGGCACUACGGUGCUGAAGCAACAAAUGCCCUGCUUCCAGGAAAAGCCUCUAAGCAUCAGGUAACAUCAAAUCGUACCCCAAACCGACACAGGUGGUCAGGUAGAGAAUACCAAGGCGCUUGAGAGAACUCGGGUGAAGGAACUAGGCAAAAUGGUGCCGUAACUUCGGGAGAAGGCACGCUGAUAUGUAGGUGAAGUCCCUUGCGGAUGGAGCUGAAAUCAGUCGAAGAUACCAGCUGGCUGCAACUGUUUAUUAAAAACACAGCACUGUGCAAACACGAAAGUGGACGUAUACGGUGUGACGCCUGCCCGGUGCCGGAAGGUUAAUUGAUGGGGUCAGCGCAAGCGAAGCUCUUGAUCGAAGCCCCGGUAAACGGCGGCCGUAACUAUAACGGUCCUAAGGUAGCGAAAUUCCUUGUCGGGUAAGUUCCGACCUGCACGAAUGGCGUAAUGAUGGCCAGGCUGUCUCCACCCGAGACUCAGUGAAAUUGAACUCGCUGUGAAGAUGCAGUGUACCCGCGGCAAGACGGAAAGACCCCGUGAACCUUUACUAUAGCUUGACACUGAACAUUGAGCCUUGAUGUGUAGGAUAGGUGGGAGGCUUUGAAGUGUGGACGCCAGUCUGCAUGGAGCCGACCUUGAAAUACCACCCUUUAAUGUUUGAUGUUCUAACGUUGACCCGUAAUCCGGGUUGCGGACAGUGUCUGGUGGGUAGUUUGACUGGGGCGGUCUCCUCCUAAAGAGUAACGGAGGAGCACGAAGGUUGGCUAAUCCUGGUCGGACAUCAGGAGGUUAGUGCAAUGGCAUAAGCCAGCUUGACUGCGAGCGUGACGGCGCGAGCAGGUGCGAAAGCAGGUCAUAGUGAUCCGGUGGUUCUGAAUGGAAGGGCCAUCGCUCAACGGAUAAAAGGUACUCCGGGGAUAACAGGCUGAUACCGCCCAAGAGUUCAUAUCGACGGCGGUGUUUGGCACCUCGAUGUCGGCUCAUCACAUCCUGGGGCUGAAGUAGGUCCCAAGGGUAUGGCUGUUCGCCAUUUAAAGUGGUACGCGAGCUGGGUUUAGAACGUCGUGAGACAGUUCGGUCCCUAUCUGCCGUGGGCGCUGGAGAACUGAGGGGGGCUGCUCCUAGUACGAGAGGACCGGAGUGGACGCAUCACUGGUGUUCGGGUUGUCAUGCCAAUGGCACUGCCCGGUAGCUAAAUGCGGAAGAGAUAAGUGCUGAAAGCAUCUAAGCACGAAACUUGCCCCGAGAUGAGUUCUCCCUGACUCCUUGAGAGUCCUGAAGGAACGUUGAAGACGACGACGUUGAUAGGCCGGGUGUGUAAGCGCAGCGAUGCGUUGAGCUAACCGGUACUAAUGAACCGUGAGGCUUAACC